UACGAAGGGGGCUAGCGUUGCUCGGAAUCACUGGGCGUAAAGCGCACGUAGGCGGCUUUCUAAGUCAGGGGUGAAAUCCUGGAGCUCAACUCCAGAACUGCCUUUGAUACUGGAGAGCUUGAGUCCGGAAGAGGUGAGUGGAACUCCGAGUGUAGAGGUGAAAUUCGUAGAUAUUGGGAAGAACACCGGUGGCGAAGGCGGCGACCUGGUCCUUGACUGACGCUGAGGCGCGAAAGCGUGGGGAGCAAACAGG
rnacentral:rRNA from 1 species